UACGAAGGGGGCUAGCGUUGCUCGGAAUGACUGGGCGUAAAGCGCGCGUAGGCGGCUUUUCAAGUCAGGGGUGAAAUCCCACGGCUCAACCGUGGAAUUGCCUUUGAAACUGUGAAGCUAGAGUGUCGGAGGGGAUAGCGGAAUUGCUAAUGUAGAGGUGAAAUUCGUAGAUAUUAGCAGGAACACCGGUGGCGAAGGCGGCUAUCUGGACGACAACUGACGCUGAGGCGCGAAAGCGUGGGGAUCAAACAGG
rnacentral:rRNA from 1 species